rnacentral:misc_RNA from 1 species
AAAGUCGUAACAAGGUUUCCGUAGGUGAACCUGCGGAAGGAUCAUUAAUUGAUCAAAUUGAAAAAAAGGUUGUUUUUUAUUCGCAAGAGUAAAAGAUGCCUUUUUUUUUAUUCACUGUGAACUGUCUUGUACUGUUGUAGUUUUUUGUUUAUUAUUUUUUACUUUCUUACGAAGGUAAAAGAAGAAUAAAGACAACUUUCAGCAAUGGAUCUCUUGGCUCUU